rnacentral:rRNA from 1 species
UACGGGAGGCAGCAGUGAGGAAUAUUGCGCAAUGGGGGCAACCCUGACACAGCGACGCCGCGUGGAUGAUGAAGGCCCUUGGGUCGUAAAAUCCUGUCAGAUGGAAAGAAAUGUACAGGUGUUAAUAUCGCCUGUAUUUGACGGUACCAUCAAAGGAAGCACCGGCUAACUCCGUGCCAGCAGCCGCGGUAAU